AUUGAAAGCCAGAGGUAAUACACCAGUUCCCCAUGGAUCACUGAAGGUAAGAAUCGUUCCACGUGGUUAGUAUCAGGAUGGGUGACUAUCUGGGUAAUCGCGUGCUGCUGGCA
rnacentral:rRNA from 1 species